AGAUACUAGUCAUGAAUGGAGCUGGGUCGGUGAAAGUAGUAUCACAAAAGGGAUGCGGGGUCGUGCGAAGAAAAAAUAUUAUCAAAAACUACAACAUAAAUCUAAAAUAUAUUCUGUUGGUUCGUAUGUAAGAUUGCAUAAAUCGGGAAAUAGAUCUCGAAACUAUCUAUUUUGCAGGAUUUUGUCCUUAUAUGAAACUGUUCUGAACACAAAGAGAAUGAAGAUAGAACAUUUUUAUACAUAUAACCAACUUUACAACUCUGGUGAUAAGAUUAACGAUAACAUAUUAAUAAAAUCUAUGAAAAGAAAUCAAAAGUGCUUUCGAGUGACAGAUAUUGCGGAUAAUAUCAGCGUGGUUCCAUACAACGAAUUUUUGGAGAUAAG
rnacentral:lncRNA from 1 species